AUUAAUUUCCUAUAAUCCGUGGUUUUCGAGCUUUAGAUUUCAUAGAGGAAAGCUCAAAUCUAACCUGAAAUGGCAAUCGAUGGCAUCGGAACCUGAAUCGUCUUCAUUUUCUCCUCCAGUUGAUUCUGAUGCAGCUGAUAAAAACGCCGUUGGGUAAAAUAGUCUCUACCUAGAACUAUUUUUCAGUAAUUUCCUUUCUUUUCUCGAUUUCCCUGACUCUGGUUCAAUUAAAUGGUUUCCAUUACCAAUUAUUUGUUUGUGCAUUUAAAAUAUAUACAUGUUUUGAAUUUUUUUAAUAAUUGGAUGAUUUAGUAAAUAUUUUACCACAUUGAUAGAAAUGUUAGAGAAGUGUAAUGGAGGGGAGAAUUUAAACACACACACGUACACACAGUAAUUUUUUUUGUUCUAGUGCUCCUUUUUUUUUUUGUAUUACUUGGAUUUCUUGUUUUUUAGUACAUUCAACCAAAAAUUACUCAGUUCUUGGUGCUAUGCUUGGAUUCAUUUUUGUUCUGGUUUUUGUGUACUGUAUCGGAGCAAACCCCGUUUGGCUUUGGACUGGGAGAUUCGCUAUUGUAUUGCUCUUGGUAUUGCUCUAGGCCUGUCCUACCUUCAUGGUGUUUGUGUGCCACAAAUCAUUCAUGAAUUUGGACAAGGUAUUUUGGGCAUGGAGACUAAGAAAAUUUUUAGGAUUCGAAAGGUAAGUGCAUUAUGCAACUUAAAAAAUAAUUCCAUGGCCCAAGGAAUCUUUAGACUAGGCAGUAUAAUGUUAAUAAAGAGCUAAACUUCAAGAAUUUACAGUAGAACGAGUAUUCCACAUAAAGAAUACUCAGUAAACGAAUGUACUCAAAAACGAAUGCACUAUGCAGUAUUAUAUAUGUACAAUGCAGGCGGGGUUCAGGUUUGGGACAACAGCAUACAUGUGCUUCAUGUUUUCACCACGACGCUGAUGGGGAUCCUGUUGGGAAUGCUUGUGUUCUCGGUGACUGGUUACGAUGACCAUAGCCGUAAUGCACUAAUUUUUGAAGGUUUGUUAGGCUCUUUAUCUUUGGGUAUACUUAUCUACAUGGCUCUUGUGGAUCUCAUAGCUCUACAUGGUUAUCUUCUCUUGGAUUUUUUGAUAGGGAACUUACAGCACACAUAUACUUUCCUUAGCUGUCCUCUUAUCCAGCAUGUUCAUAUACAACCAGGUUUGAAAAAAUAUAAUGUUUGGCCUUGAUUGUUUUCUUUUGAAGGCUCAAUUUAUUUGGAUUAGUUCCUUAUCUGCCUUUAUGUACAUGAAGAGUCUAAUACAAGCAGGACCAUCAUGCCGAUCAAAUUUCAGGUCUGAUCAGUCAUGUCAAC
rnacentral:lncRNA from 1 species